UACGGAGGGUGCAAGCGUUGCUCGGAAUUAUUGGGCGUAAAGGGUAGGUAGGUGGUCUCAUUUGUCUGGGGUGAAAUCCUUGGGCUUAACUCAAGAAGUGCCCCAGAAACGGUGAGACUAGAGUCCUGGAGAGGGUCGUGGAAUUCCCGGUGUAGCGGUGAAAUUCGUAGAUAUUGGGAAGAACACCGGUGGCGAAGGCGGCUCACUGGCUCAUUACUGACGCUCAGGCGCGAUAGCGUGGGGAUCAAACAGG
rnacentral:rRNA from 1 species